rnacentral:lncRNA from 1 species
GGGAUUGUCCUGGGUCACCUAGGUGUGCUUGGGGUCACUAUGACCUCCUCACAAGGGGAGGAGGGAGGGAGAACAGUUAAGAGGAGCAGAUGUGUGGAUGGAAGCAGUCAAGAGAAGAGUGGAAUGUGGGCUUAGAAGAUGGAGAAGGCUCUGUACCCAGUUGGCGUAUGGCCUCUUGAAGUUGGAAAAGCCAAGGAAAUGAAUUCUUCUCUAAAGCCUCCAAAGUAAAAAUGCAGCCCUGUGAGUACCUUGGUUACCAAGGAGACCACUUCAAACGGAGCUGUGUUCUGCUGGGUGUGCUCAUUUGUCUCAGCAGUUAGAGGAAACUCUGACCAAAACUUGACUCGGUUUCUGAGUCUGUUCUGACUAGCCUGGUCAGGAGCUCCCCUCUCUGUCCUUGGCCAAUUCACUUGGAGCAAAAAUCCUGUCCAGGUGGCAGUGGCUUGGGCAAGGGGAGCCAUUUUCUCUAGCAGUGUGAUGCUGGUGAGCUACCUGUGGCCAGCAAACAACUGUCACUAAACUUGGUCACAAAACAAAAAGGACAUGAAGGUACCAGCAGGAUGUCUUGGAAAGAAGAAAAGGGGAAGGAGACAAAAAUAGGACUUUCUCUCAUAGUAAAAAUAUACAACACAACCUCUGCUCUUUCGUUGUGCUUGGCUUCGCUUCGGAGCACACGCCCAGGCUCAGUGGGUGAGAUUGCAGAUAGGUAACAAAUGCCUACGAAAUGAACUAGAAGGAAAUCCAGCCAAUGCCUUUCCGUCUCGGGACAGUGUUUAUGUUUAUAAAUAUCUUCAAGGUAUAUGGGGUUGUCCCCACCAUCACUCAGGGGGGCUCUCCUGAACCUGACAUUCAUCUCUUGGGCCAGGCUGGCUGGCUGAUCAAUGAGCUCCAGGAACCUGCCUGCCUCCACUCCCCCAGUGCUGCGGUUACAGGGACUUGCAUUUUAACCGGGUCAGGAUGAAGACACCUAACAGAUGAACCUUCAAUCUGGGGUUUCAGGUGAGGAAACAUGAAGGAAGAUUUGCAGUCUUUUCCCUGAAGUGGCUUCCAGUGUGCUUGGCUGAGCAGGGCAUUUGCAGCCAAAUAGGCUGAACUCUACAGGAAUAAUGCCCACUGAGCCUUGCAAAGGCACCAGCUUUCCCCUGCCAGUUAGUUGCUCUUUGAAGCAUGUCUUAGUCCUGCUCAGGAUUAUCGUCAGCCUCCCACUCAUCAAAUCCAUCAUGGCAUCCAGCCAGCUUUCUCUGCAGAAGCCAGUUCACAUCUACCCUCUUGCUUAAAGUUGCCUAUCCCGUUACAAUGGGGCAACCCAUAGCCUAUGCCCCCACUUUAAUCCUACAUCACCUCUCUUCCACAAGUGUGCAUGCUUUGGGAUCCACACAACUGACUGGAACACCAUCGCAUGAAAGGCUACAUAGUAGAGAUGAUCUCUACGGCCCAGGGGACCUGUCCUUUGGGCUGCUCCCAGAGCAAUGGUAACACAAGAUUCCAGGAAUCCAUCCUCAAAUCUAGAAACUCAAUCCAAUGACACACACCUGCAGUGAUGACCAGUCCCUUCACUGAGUAAGCAGAGGGCACAUAGACAGCUAUGGGUGGAAGAUGAAACCAUCGCAACCGCAUAGACAACGGUGUCAACACUGGAACCAAUGCCGGGCCAAGCAGGGACCUGGCCUAAUUCUCCAGCCAAGUGGAAGCAUUGUGCAAAUCUGCAACCGCCUCUGCAUCAUGACUGUCUAAUCCUAAUUGUAAUGUCAUCUGCUCCAGUCAGGUCUUUUGCACACAGGGCUCACUGUCAGGGUCCCCUACAGCUUUAGUAGCCCAACUUUCUUCAGCCCUUUUGGUUGGCAACAGUUUCUCCAUAUCUGUCUGAAGGAUGGAGACCUGUUGGAGAAUAUUCAGUGAGGUAUCUGUCGGGCAUUUCUUCAUGACUUGGCUCAGGUAUCCUGGGUGAAAACAACACAAAAAUAAAAGUCAGACUCAUCCCUUUCCACCUUACUGGGUCACUCAGUGUCCACUGUCCAAUCCCCAGAGCUAGUGACUUAAAUCAGGGUAGCACUGGGCUAGACUUCCCCACUACAAUGUUACCUUUUUAAUGAAUACAACUUUUAGGAGGCAUUUUUCAAACAAACAAACAAACAAAGAAACAAACUGUAGGAGGCUGGAGAGAUGGCUCAGUGGUUAAGACAACUGACUGCAAUUCCAGAGGUCCUGAGUUCAAUUCCCAGCAACCACAUCUUGGCUCACAACCAUCUGUAAUGGGAUCUGAUGCCCUCUUCUGGUGUGCCUGAAGACGGCUACAGUGUACUCAUAUAAAUGAAACAAAUAAAUCUGUAAGGAAAGGAAGGAAGGGA